GUCCUUUAGAAUUAAUUAUUUAAGGUCUAACCUGCCCACUGAAUUAUUUUAAAUGGCCGCAGUAAAUUGACUGUGCAAAGGUAGCAUAAUCAUUAGUUUUUUAAUUAAAAGCUUGUAUGAAUGGUUUGACGAAAUAAAAUCUGUCUCUAAAUAAUAAUAAGAAUUUAAUUUUUAAGUUAAAAAGCUUAAAUUAAAAUAAAAGACGAGAAGACCCUAUAGAUCUUUAUAUUAAAUUUAAUAAUUUUAUUUAAGAUUUUUUAUAUAAUUAUUAAUUUUAUUAUUAUAUUGGGGUAAUAGGAAGAUUAAUAAAAUUCUUUUUAAUUUUUUUACAAUAAUAAUUGUUUAUUUGAUCCUUAAUUUAAGAUAAUAAGAUUAAGUUACCUUAGGGAUAACAGCGUAAUUUUUUUAAAGAGUUCAUAUCGAUAAAAAAGUUUGCGACCUCGAUGUUGGAUUAAAAAUUAUUUUGGGUGCAGAAGCUUGAAAAUAUUGGUCUGUUCGACCAUUAAAUUUUU
rnacentral:rRNA from 1 species